CCUACGGGAAGCAGCAGUGAGGAAUAUUGGUCAAUGGGCGGAAGCCUGAACCAGCCAAGUAGCGUGCAGGAUGACGGCCCUACGGGUUGUAAACUGCUUUUAUACGGGAAUAACGCGCCUUACGUGUAGGGCUUUGCAUGUACCGUAUGAAUAAGGCCCGGCUAAUCCCGUGCCAGCAGCCGCGGUAAUACGGAAGGUCCGGGCGUUAUCCGGAUUUUAUGGGUUUAAAGGGAGCGUAGGCCGCAUGUCAAGCGUGCUGUGAAAUUUGCGGGCUCAACCCGGGCCUUGCAGCGCGAACUGGCGUGCUUGAGUCCGCGGAAAGCAGGCGGAAUGCGUCGUGUAGCGGUGAAAUGCUUAGAUAUGACGAAGAACCCCGAUUGCGAAGGCAGCUUGCUGCAGCGGAACUGACGCUGAUGCUCGAAAGCGCGGGUAUCGAACAGGAUUAGAUACCCGAGUAGUC
rnacentral:rRNA from 1 species